rnacentral:misc_RNA from 1 species
GCAAACUUGGUCAUUUAGAGGAAGUAAAAGUCGUAACAAGGUUUCCGUAGGUGAACCUGCGGAAGGAUCAUUGACCAUAAAAAUAUGGGGGGGGGGGGUUGGAAAAGAAGACAGGGAUGCACAUUUGUGUCCUUCUCUCUUUCUUGAUGCAAGAGAAAAGGAAAACAUUUUGCUCUUUUUCUUUCUUGGAAGCCCUUUGUAGGAAAAAAAAAUAACCACUGGUGACAUCUGUUGGUCACCCGUGCUGGCAGUUGGUUUAACAAACUAAGUGCUGGUGCUGCGUUUUUCAGUAUUUGUGGAUUUUCACAUUUGAUUUUGUGCCUGAUGAAAUUGAGGGAUGCGUUUUGCACCUAAAAGAACACACACAUAACUUUUAACAAUGGAUCUCUUGGCUCUCGCAUCGAUGAAGAACGCAGC